rnacentral:lncRNA from 1 species
CAUAUAAUAGUUAAGUAUCAGAAUUGCAAAUUAAAGAGAAUAUAUCUUCAUCUUUUUAUAUAGAAAUAAUUGCCUAUAUACCUCUCAUACGUUUGAAAGUAUUCGAUUUAUCUCUUUUUUUUCUUUCUAAAAUAUCCCUUAUAUGUUCCACCGUUAUUGCAAAAUAUCUUUGCAGUUAUCUCCUGUUAAGUUAACUUGGAUUAAACGUGAGUUAAAUAUCUACCAUAGUUAAAAAAAUUAAAAUAUCAAUUUUGCCCUUAACUUAAGGACAAAUAAGAAAUGUUGAUGACGAUAGAGAGGUAUAUUAGAAAAGACCAAAAGUCAAAAUACUUUUUGUACUCCUGACUUUAAGGGCAAAUAAGAAAGUCAGUGAUGGUGAAAAGGUAUAUUUGAAAGAAAAAAAUAGUAAUUUUAUAGAGAUAACAGAGUUAAUUAAUAGAUUUUAGCUAUAGGGGUAUAUUAGAAAUAGGUUGGAACGUAGAAAGGGUAUUUUCAAUAUUAGCCUUCUAAAAGGGGUAAAUUGAAAACUCGGGAACUUUUCAGGGGUAUAUAAGCAAUUGCCCCUUUUAUAUAUAUUGUUUAUGUUUUAGAAUAAAAAAAUAAUUUUUUUAUGGGUUAGAAUAAAAAAAAUAUUUUUUAUGUGUUAGAAUAAAAAAAAAAAAUUUUAUUUUUCCCUAAGUAGUAACCCCUUUUUUUUGCAUUAGAAAAUACAAUGGCUAUAGGAAUAACAACACCUAGACCUAGGUUUAACUAAAUUUAGCCAGAAAUAUGAAUCAAUUAAAAUUCGAACUUGGAACCUCGGAUACCAAUCACCAAAUCUUUUACCACUUGCAGUAGGGACGGUUAGUAGUUUUGAUUUUUGUAUCAAAUAUAUGUCAAGAACC